CCGAACCACGUGCCAGGCUCCGCGGGAACAGUGGGGGGGCAAGCGUUUUCCGGAUUUACUGCGCGUAAAGAGCUCGGAGGCGGUUCGAUAAGUCGGGUGGGAAAACUCGGGGCUCAACCCAGAGACGCCACCCGAGACGGUCGGGACUGGAGUCCGGUAGAGGAGUGUGGAACUCCCAGUGUAGCGGUGAAAUGCGCAGAUAUUGGGAAGAACACCAGUGGCGAAGGCGGCACUCUGGGCCGGUACUGACGCUGAGGAGCGAAAGCGUGGGUAGCAAACAGGAUUAGAUACCCGUGUAGUC
rnacentral:rRNA from 1 species